rnacentral:lncRNA from 1 species
CUUGAGAUUUUUACUAGGAUAUAUACAAAGUAUAUUUCCUAUCUCAAACUGGUGCUCCUGGAUAAAAAAUUAUUUUGUUGUAUUUUGAAUAGUGGAGAGUCUUCAUCCACUUUCCAAUCCACAGAUACCAAUCUGAUAAAAUAUUAAAAAUAACAAUAAAGAGUGUUACUUCUUCAAGGUUAUCUUUUCUGGGAAUUUUUGUUUCAUGGCAUAUCUUGACAAUAUCUUUUGGAUCUAUCCUUUCAAUAGAAAGUUUAGAUUGAGUUUGGCUCUGUGAAGAGCUACCUUCUCUUUUGAUAUCUUGAAUAUCUUUAUUACUAGUAAUAUGUUCAAGU